CCUACGGGAGGCAGCAGUCGAGGAUCUUCGGCAAUGGGCGCAAGCCUGACCGAGCGACGCCGCGUGAGCGAUGAAGGCCAUUAGGUUGUAAAGCUCUGUCGAGGGGGAACAAGCCGCAAGGUUGAGUGAUCCCUGGAGGAAGCACGGGCUAAGUUCGUGCCAGCAGCCGCGGUAAGACGAACCGUGCGAACGUUGUUCGGAAUCAUUGGGCUUAAAGGGCGCGUAGGCGGGUUGACAAGUCCGGGGUGAAAGCCUCCAGCUCAACUGGAGAAGAGCCCCGGAUACUGUCAGUCUGGAGAGGGAUAGGGGCACAUGGAACUUCCGGUGGAGCGGUGAAAUGCGUAGAGAUCGGAAGGAACGCCGGUGGCGAAAGCGAUGUGCUGGAUCUUUUCUGACGCUGAGGCGCGAAAGCUAGGGGAGCAAACGGGAUUAGAUACCCCGGUAGUCCUAGCCCUAAACGAUGGGUACUGGGUUGCGGGUCAGACAUAGACUCGCAGCCGGAGCAAAAGUGUUAAGUACCCCGCCUGGGGAGUAUGGUCGCAAGGCUGAAACUCAAAGGAAUUGACGG
rnacentral:rRNA from 1 species